rnacentral:rRNA from 1 species
CACGUAGGGGCCAAGCGUUGUCCGGAUUUAUUGGGCGUAAAGAGCUCGUAGGCGGUUCAGCAAGUCGGGUGUGAAAACUCUGGGCUCAACCCAGAGACGCCACCCGAUACUGCUGUGACUAGAGUCCGGUAGGGGAGUGGGGAAUUCCUGGUGUAGCGGUGAAAUGCGCAGAUAUCAGGAGGAACACCAGCGGCGAAGGCGGCGCUCUGGGCUGGAACUGACGCUGAGGAGCGAAAGCGUGGGGAGCGAACAGG